rnacentral:tRNA from 1 species
AGGGUCGUAGUUUAUGAGAACGGUUAAUUUGCAUUUAAACAGCACUAAAGUCUUCCCU